rnacentral:rRNA from 1 species
UGCCAGCCGCCGCGGUAAUACGGAGGGGGUUAGCGUUGUUCGGAAUUACUGGGCGUAAAGCGUACGUAGGCGGAUUGGAAAGUAUGGGGUGGAAUCCCAGGGCUCAACCCUGGAACUGCCUCAUAAACUCCCAGUCUUGAGUUCGAGAGAGGUGAGUGGAACUCCGAGUGUAGAGGUGAAAUUCGUAGAUAUUCGGAAGAACACCAGUGGCGAAGGCGGCUCACUGGCUCGAUACUGACGCUGAGGUACGAAAGUGUGGGGAGCAAACAGGAUUAGAUA